GCGGAGGAUCAUUAACGAAUUGUAAUGGGGGUUUGAUGCUGGCAGCACAUUGCUGCAUGUGCUCGCCUCCAACAAUCUUUAUCCUAACACCUGUGCACAUUCUGAGGGUUUUGAGUUUGAUCUCGAAUUCCCUUAUCCUCAUAUACUCUGUCCUUAAUCUCGAACGUGAUUGUGCCGCGAGGCAUUAAAGAAAUUAUAACUUUUAACAACGGAUCUCUUGGCUCUCGCAUCGAUGAAGAACGCAGCGAAAUGCGAUAAGUAAUGUGAAUUGCAGAAUUCAGUGAAUCAUCGAAUCUUUGAACGCAUCUUGCGCUCCCUGGUAUUCCGAGGAGCACGCCUGUUCGAGUGUCGUGAAGUUCUCAGGCUAGAUGCUUUUUUUAAAGGCAGUCGAAGCUUGGUUUAUUGGGCUCUGCCGUGUUCCUAUUAUUGGGACGGCUGGCCUUAAAAGCAUUAGCUGAUCCUCGUGUGGAUUUGGUUUGACUCAGUGUGAUAAUAAUUUGACCGCUGAGGACAUCUUGCGGGAUGGCCAAGUCUCAUUUGGUUCGCUUCUAAUUUGUUUAUCCUUCAAUCUUGACCUCGAAUCAGGUGGGACUACCCGCUGAACUUAAGCAUAUCAAUAAGCGGAGGAAAAGAAACUAACAAGGAUUCCCCUAGUAACGGCGAGUGAAGCGGGAAGAGCUCAAAUUUAAAAUCUGGCAGUCUUCGAUUGUCCGAAUUGUAAUCUAGAGAAGUGU
rnacentral:rRNA from 1 species